UCCUUCUUAUCGAAGGCAGUUCCCUAAGAGUGCAUCCCUUGCGGGAUUAGCAACAUAGGAUGGGGGUUGCGCUCGUUGCGGGACUUAACCCAACACCUCACGGCACGAGCUGACGACAGCCAUGCAGCGGCUGUGCCGGCUCCCUUGCGGGUCCCUCCCCUUUCAGGUUGGUACCACCGGCAUGUCAAGCCCAGGUAAGGUUCUUCGCGUUGCAUCGAAUUAAACCACAUGCUCCACCGCUUGUGCGGGCCCCCGUCAAUUCCUUUGAGUUUCAGCCUUGCGGCCGUACUCCCCAGGCGGGGCACUUAAUGCGUUAGCGCCGGCACCCAGGGGGUCGCUCCCCCAGGCACCUAGUGCCCAUCGUUUACGGCGUGGACUAC
rnacentral:misc_RNA from 1 species